GUUACAAUCAAUCGUCUGUCCAAUGGUGAGGAGCCGAAUGAUCUCUCUGCAAGUAUGGAAAUGAUAUAUGGCGCAGACGAUUCUUGACGAACUCCAGAGGCAAAGAGAAUGGCCGGGUGGCGAGUCAUCACUUCUUACAAAGUUUGAUGCUAUUUUAUUGGUUGGUGGCUUCUUGUGAACAACUUUUAACAAAGGAGCAGGUAUAACUUCG
rnacentral:misc_RNA from 1 species